UACGGAGGAUACAAGCGUUAUCCGGAUUCAUUGGGUUUAAAGGGUGCGUAGGCGGCCUUUUAAGUCAGUGGUGAAAUCUUGCCGCUUAACGGUAAAAUUGCCAUUGAUACUGAAAGGCUUGAGUACAGUUGAGGUAAGCGGAAUGUGUAGUGUAGCGGUGAAAUGCUUAGAUAUUACACAGAACACCAAUUGCGAAGGCAGCUUACUAAACUGUUACUGACGCUGAUGCACGAAAGCAUGGGGAGCGAACAGG
rnacentral:rRNA from 1 species